rnacentral:rRNA from 1 species
CCUACGGGUGGCUGCAGUGGGGAAUCUUGCGCAAUGGCCGAAAGGCUGACGCAGCGACGCCGCGUGGAGGAUGACGCCCUUCGGGGUGUAAACUCCUGUUGCCCGGGACGACUGCCUGUUUUGACAGGAGUGACGGUACCGGGUGAGGAAGCACCGGCUAACUCUGUGCCAGCAGCCGCGGUAAUACAGAGGGUCCGAGCGUUGUCCGGUAUCACUGGGCGGAGAGGAGGCGUCGGGGGCGGGGUGUGGUGAAAGUCCGGGGCUCAACCCCGGAUCGGCCAUGCGAACUGCCGCGCUGGAGCACGUUAGAGGCACAUGGAAUUCCGGGUGUAGCGGUGGAAUGCGUAGAGAUCCGGAAGAACACCGGUGGCGAAGGCGGUGUGCUGGGCCGUUGCUGACACUGAGGCGCGACAGCGUGGGGAGCAAACAGGAUUAGAUACCCGGGUAGUC